UUAGCUGAGGAUAUGCCAUCUUCCAAGAUUAUUGAUGAGGUAAUCUUUGCUUCACUUUUAUUUCCAUCUUGUUCGUUGUAGUGAGAAUCUUCAGUAUUGGCAAUUUUUUUUGCAAGAUGCUGAUAAGAUUGUGCGUUCCAUCCAAGACUUGUUCGCUUCCUGGGGGCAAGUCAAGACAUCUCGCCCUGCUCCAUCUGGUCGUCCUGCUACUUCUUCAGAGGAAGAUAUGAAGUUCCUCAAGCAGUCGAUAUUUGAGUACGUGUCCUUCAUGGAUAUGGACAUUGGUAAGGCUAGUGCUGCCAGACAUAAGGAUAAGCUUAAGCAUUUGAAUGCGAAGUUAGAGCAAGCACUGACACUUCCAUCGCUCAAUCUUUCUGCUGAUUUUAAAGCGACGUUGAAAGUUAUCCAUUCCGAG
rnacentral:lncRNA from 1 species